GCCGAAGUGGUGGAAUUGGUAGACACGAGGGACUUAAAAUCCCUUGAACAGUAAUGUUCGUGACGGUUCGAUCCCGUUCUUCGGUA
rnacentral:tRNA from 1 species